UGGGGUGAUGUGUAUGAGUAUGUAUUGUUUUCUGUUAUGGAGUUUCUAUUGUGUGUGUUGUUGUGUAUUGUUAGUAUGCUAUGGGAUAUGAGAAAAAUGUGAGUUGGGGUUGGGGAGGGGGGCCACGUGGGGUAUGUAGUGAGGUGGUAGAAGUGAGGAAUUUUAAUUGGAUAUUUGUUAAGAAUUGACUAUUUUUUUUUAUUUUUUUUUUGUGAAAAAAUUAUCUGGACACAUGAUAAGACAGGGUAAAUGGAUAAAAUUAAUUUUUGGGAGAGUCAAAUUUAUAUAUAUAUAUAUACAGCCACUGGCUGGCAAAACGUAAUAAACCGCCUCACCGCCGCAUUACCACAAAACCAGUCUGCCACCCACUGCCCGGUGCACUAUCAGUGUUGGCUGACGCAUCCCACGGCGCCUCUAAUGAGUCUACGCCGCUGAGACACCAAACCAACCACUACUCCAGCACCUCCUGGUCUACAUCACCUUCGUUUCCAAUCAGUGAAAACCAGUCGGCUCCACAGCGGAAGCAACAGCACCAGCCUCCCCGAGUUCUAACCCAAUGUCGCUUCGAAAAGCACUGUCGUCGCCCACAACCAAGACCAGCCCCCACCACUCCAGUUAAUGAACCCCAUUAAAAAACUACCAAACAGACCCCAAACUCUCCUCUUCGUGUAUUCACUUCUCAAUUAAGCAAAAUCCAAGUCGAAAACGUCAAAACAUUGAGACGAGUUGUCUCUAUCAAACUUCAAAGUUCUAACUUAGAUUCACGACUUAUUAGUUUUUGCUAAUUUCAAAAUCUAAAACUGAUGCAUACUGGCCUUAAAUUGUUCAUUCAUGUUCUUUUAUGCUAAGUGAUAAGGGCAG
rnacentral:lncRNA from 1 species